CUUCCGGUAGGCAGAAAGAAUUCUGGGAUAGAGCCAGGCGUGGGAAGAGUCGCUGGGGAAGAUGUGAGGUAGAAGGAUGUGUGGUAGUCGAGCAGAGGUAACCAGCUACGUGGCAGAAUGUAGAGUAGUUUCCAGAGAUCCAGUGUCCACCCCUGGCUUCCAAAGCUGCUGGUGUGCAUAUUCACAUACCUGCCUUUGUAAGACCCCGACUUAGAGCGUUUCUACCUAGAAGAGAUGCCUGCCUUCCUGUGCUGAGGACA